GUGCUCAUUUCAGCAGCACAAAAUUGUAAUGAUACAGAGAAGAUUAGCCUGGCCCCUGUGCAAGGAUGACACACAAACUUGUUCAAUAUUUUU
ensembl:snRNA U6 U6 spliceosomal RNA